rnacentral:rRNA from 1 species
UGGUGGAGUGAUUUGUCUGCUUAAUUGCGAUAACGAACGAGACCUUAACCUGCUAAAUAGCCAGGCUAGCUUUGGCUGGUCGCCGGCUUCUUAGAGGGACUUUUGGCUCAAGCCAAUGGAAGUACGAGGCAAUAACA